AGCACUUCGCUUACACCGAACUGAAGUCCGUUUAACCCCGACUGUUCUGA
rnacentral:tRNA from 1 species